GAAAUGCGAUAAGUAGUGUGAAUUGCAGAAUUUAGCGAAUCAUCGAAUCUUUGAACGCACAUUGCGCCCCUUGGUAUUCCAUGGGGCAUGCCUGUUCGAGCGUCAUUUCAACCCUCAAGCACUGCUUGGUGUUGGGCGUUUGUCCCGCCUACGCGCGUGGACUCGCCUCAAAGUCAUUGGCAGCUGUUCCCCUUCGGCUCGUAAGCGCAGCACAGUCGGCGCCCGGAGCUCUGGUGGGAUGGCGUCCAGCAAGCGAUAUUUUCAGGCUUGACCUCGGAUCAGGUAGGGAUACCCGCUGAACUUAAGC
rnacentral:misc_RNA from 1 species